UGCAGUCGAGCGGUAGAGAGAUGCUUGCAUCUCUUGAGAGCGGCGGACGGGUGAGUAAUGCCUAGGAAUCUGCCUGGUAGUGGGGGAUAACGUCCGGAAACGGACGCUAAUACCGCAGACGUCCUACGGGAGAAAGCAGGGGACCUUCGGGCCUUGCGCUAUCAGAUGAGCCUAGGUCGGAUUAGCUAGUUGGUGAGGUAAAGGCUCACCAAGGCGACGAUCCGUAACUGGUCUGAGAGGAUGAUCAGUCACACUGGAACUGAGACACGGUCCAGACUCCUACGGGAGGCAGCAGUGGGGAAUAUUGGACAAUGGGCGAAAGCCUGAUCCAGCCAUGCCGCGUGUGUGAAGAAGGUCUUCGGAUUGUAAAGCACUUUAAGUUGGGAGGAAGGGUACUUACCUAAUACGUGAGUAUUUUGACGUUACCGACAGAAUAAGCACCGGCUAACUCUGUGCCAGCAGCCGCGGUAAUACAGAGGGUGCAAGCGUUAAUCGGAAUUACUGGGCGUAAAGCGCGCGUAGGUGGUUCGUUAAGUUGGAUGUGAAAUCCCCGGGCUCAACCUGGGAGCUGCAUCCAAAACUGGCGAGCUAGAGUAUGGUAGAGGGUGGGUGGAAUUUCCUGUGUAGCGGUGAAAUGCGUAGAUAUAGGAAGGAACACCAGUGGCGAAAGCGACCACCUGGACUGAUACUGACACUGAUGUGCGACAGCGUGUGGAGCAACACGAUUAGAUACCCUGCUAGUCCACGCCUGUAUACGAUGUCACUAGC
rnacentral:rRNA from 1 species